UUUCGGGGUACACGAGCGGCGAACGGGUGAGUAACACGUGGGUGAUCUGCCCUGCACUCUGGGAUAAGCCUGGGAAACUGGGUCUAAUACCGGAUAUGACCAUUCCAUGCAUGUGGGGUGGUGGAAAGAUUUAUCGGUGCAGGAUGGGCCCGCGGCCUAUCAGCUUGUUGGUGGGGUAAUGGCCUACCAAGGCGACGACGGGUAGCCGACCUGAGAGGGUGACCGGCCACACUGGGACUGAGACACGGCCCAGACUCCUACGGGAGGCAGCAGUGGGGAAUAUUGCACAAUGGGCGGAAGCCUGAUGCAGCGACGCCGCGUGAGGGAUGAAGGCCUUCGGGUUGUAAACCUCUUUCAGCAGGGACGAAGCGUGAGUGACGGUACCUGCAGAAGAAGCACCGGCUAACUACGUGCCAGCAGCCGCGGUAAUACGUAGGGUGCGAGCGUUGUCCGGAAUUACUGGGCGUAAAGAGUUCGUAGGCGGUUUGUCGCGUCGUUUGUGAAAACCCGGGGCUCAACUUCGGGCUUGCAGGCGAUACGGGCAGACUUGAGUGUUUCAGGGGAGACUGGAAUUCCUGG
rnacentral:rRNA from 1 species